rnacentral:tRNA from 1 species
GGCCCCUUAGCUCAGUGGUUAGAGCAGUCGACUCAUAAUCGAUUGGUCCCCAGUUCGAGUCUGGGAGGGGCCACCA